UACAGAGGGGGCAAGCGUUGUUCGGAAUUACUGGGCGUAAAGGGCGCGUAGGCGGCCUUCUAAGUCAGACGUGAAAUCCCCGGGCUCAACCCGGGAACUGCGUCUGAUACUGGAAGGCUUGAAUCCGGGAGAGGUAUGUGGAAUUCCAGGUGUAGCGGUGAAAUGCGCAGAUAUCAGGAGGAACACCGAUGGCGAAGGCAGGUCUCUGGGCCACUACUGACGCUGAGAAGCGAAAGCAUGGGGAGCGAACAGG
rnacentral:rRNA from 1 species